rnacentral:rRNA from 1 species
UACGGAGGGUGCAAGCGUUAAUCGGAAUUACUGGGCGUAAAGCGUGCGUAGGCGGUUCGUUAAGUCUGUUGUGAAAGCCCCGGGCUCAACCUGGGAAUGGCAAUGGAUACUGGCGAGCUAGAGUGUGUCAGAGGAUGGUGGAAUUCCCGGUGUAGCGGUGAAAUGCGUAGAUAUCGGGAAGAACACCCGUGGCGAAGGCGGCUCUCUGGGACGGUACUGACGCUGAGACGCGAAAGCGUGGGGAGCGAACAGG